UACGUAGGGUGCGAGCGUUGUCCGGAAUUAUUGGGCGUAAAGAGCUUGUAGGCGGUUUGUCGCGUCUGCUGGUGAAAAUCCGGGGCUCAACCCCGGACUUGCAGUGGGUACGGGCAGACUAGAGUGUGGUAGGGGAGACUGGAAUUCCUGGUGUAGCGGUGAAAUGCGCAGAAUAUCAGGAGGAACACCGAUGGCGAAGGCAGGUCUCUGGGCCACUACUGACGCUGAGAAGCGAAAGCAUGGGGAGCGAACAGG
rnacentral:rRNA from 1 species